rnacentral:rRNA from 1 species
AGAGCGAACGCUGGCGGCAGGCUUAACACAUGCAAGUCGAGCGGGCGUAGCAAUACGUCAGCGGCAGACGGGUGAGUAACGCGUGGGAACGUACCUUUUGGUUCGGAACAACACAGGGAAACUUGUGCUAAUACCGGAUAAGCCCUUACGGGGAAAGAUUUAUCGCCAAAAGAUCGGCCCGCGUCUGAUUAGCUAGUUGGUGAGGUAACGGCUCACCAAGGCGACGAUCAGUAGCUGGUCUGAGAGGAUGAUCAGCCACAUUGGGACUGAGACACGGCCCAAACUCCUACGGGAGGCAGCAGUGGGGAAUAUUGGACAAUGGGCGCAAGCCUGAUCCAGCCAUGCCGCGUGAGUGAUGAAGGCCCUAGGGUUGUAAACCCCUUUCAGCAGGGACGAAGCGAAAGUGACGGUACCUGCAGAAGAAGCGCCGGCUAACUACGUGCCAGCAGCCGC